AAAUUGCUGUGUAUCCUUUAAUAAAGUGGCAUUAACUUGAUCACAUUGAUCGUGCAUGUUGUGUCCGAGACUUCCGCGUCACCACGCUGCACUAAGCAAUCCCUGUCUGUCUCCUUCCUUUCCCUGGGAACACACAAACACUAAUCAGAGCCAGAACAGCGCUUUUAGGCUCACGGCGAGAACUUCUCACAGAAAGCGCUCGCACGUACGAUCGUCGCUGUACAGCAGCCUCCCCUCCAAACUGCCACGGCAAAGAUGAAGCAGUUGUUUGAAGCAUGGUGAAAACUGUCCGAUUCUCAACAGCAGCCAUACGUGCAGCUUGCUGAAGAUGAUAAGGUUCGGUACGAGAAUGAAAUGCAGUUGUGGGAA